rnacentral:lncRNA from 1 species
UGCCCCGGGCCCAGCACAACGCCUGCGGGGGAGGGGUGAUGACUCACUCUCUCCUGAAGGAAGACCACACUGCCCCGGAGACACAGGAGGCCUUCUGACCUGGCCCGGUUGCUCUUCCUGGAGAUGCCCCUCCUUCCCCAGAAGGCAGGCUCAGCUCAUGGAUGGUGCAGUCAGUAAGGGGAACUCAGUGCUGCCCAGGUCCCAGUCCACUGUGGACACCUGCGUGAUCUGACACUUCCCCAUGAGGACUUUUGCGAAGCCAGAUGAUUUGUUUGAAUUAUCCAGUUCAGCGCCUGAGCCUCCUCUGCAAGAUCCUACCCAGCAAACUUGGGGUGUUUCCCCUGCUCCCGUAUUUCUGGUAUUAACACCUUCCCCAGAACACCAGACUAUUCCUGUUAUGAC